rnacentral:rRNA from 1 species
AGUGAACGCUGGCGGUAGGCCUAACACAUGCAAGUAGAACGGCAGCACAGUAAGAGCUUGCUCUUACGGGUGGCGAGUGGCGGACGGGUGAGGAAUACAUCGGAAUCUACUUUUUCGUGGGGGAUAACGUAGGGAAAAUUACGCUAAUACCGCAUACGACCUACGGGUGAAAGCAGGGGAUCUUCGGACCUUGCGCGAUUGAAUGAGCCGAUGUCGGAUUAGCUAGUUGGCGGGGUAAAGGCCCACCAAGGCGACGAUCCGUAGCUGGUCUGAGAGGAUGAUCAGCCACACUGGAACUGAGACACGGUCCAGACUCCUACGGGAGGCAGCAGUGGGGAAUAUUGGACAAUGGGCGCAAGCCUGAUCCAGCCAUACCGCGUGGGUGAAGAAGGCCUUCGGGUUGUAAAGCCCUUUUGUUGGGAAAGAAAAGCAGCAGGUUAAUACCCCGCUGUUCUGACGGUACCCAAAGAAUAAGCACCGGCUAACUUCGUG